rnacentral:rRNA from 1 species
UACGAAGGGGGCUAGCGUUGCUCGGAAUCACUGGGCGUAAAGCGCACGUAGGCGGCUUUCUAAGUCAGGUGAAAUCCUGGAGCUCAACUCCAGAACUGCCUUUGAUACUGGAGAGCUUGAGUCCGGAAGAGGUGAGUGGAACUCCGAGUGUAGAGGUGAAAUUCGUAGAUAUUCGGAAGAACACCAGUGGCGAAGGCGGCUCACUGGUCCGGUACUGACGCUGAGGUGCGAAAGCGUGGGGAGCAAACAGG